UCAGGAUGCUUUUUAUGACAGUUCAUGAAGUAGUGACGUUGCAUUGUGAAUGAUUCAUUAUCUUGAAUCAGAUCUUUUCAGUGAAUCAGUUUAUUCUGUUCAAAAUUGUCUGAAUGAUUUGUUCAUAAAUUGCUUGAAUAAAAUAUUAUCAGCGAAAAACAGCAUAAAUUUUUUAGUUUGUUUCUACCACAAAACAGAAUUUAGACUUGAAAUAUAGUGCAUGAGUCAUAUGAUUUAGUACGGCCUAAGGGGACCUGGUAAUGGGAAAAAAUAUCAGAUGGGAGGGGAAAAUUAUGUUUGAAUGAUUUUGCGUUCACCCGAAAAAUUUUGCAUUUGCUCAAAGAAGCACUGAAAUAUAGUUUUCCCUCCCACAACAUAUUAUUUCCAUCACCUGUUUUGUGUUCAUUUGCAAUAAUUUGCAACUGAACGCAAAGUUUAUCAGGGAAACGCAAAAGUUUUGCAAAACAUUUUUCCUCCCAUCUCAUUUUUUCCCCCAUCACCCUGUCCUUUUAGAGGCUCCAUAAUUUAGUCUCCACUCAUUGUAAUUGCAUAAAAACAUUAAUGUGAAUCCUUUCCCUAUCAUCACAUCCUAUCAGCGAUUCCGUAAAAAAAAAAAAAAAAGGAUAUGAUACAGGUUUUGAAGGACAUGAGGGUGUGUAAAUGAUGACAGAAUGCUCAUUUUUAAGCAAACUAUCCUUUUAACAUUGAAGUUACCGGAAACAUCACUCAAAAUAUGAAAAACAAGCUGUGAUGGAAGUAGAGCCACGAAAGUAAUGAAAUAGGGAAAAAAUCAAGCCUGGAAACUCCGUAAGAUCAAAUGGCCCUGUGGCGUUGCCUCCUCUGACAGGUGAGUAAACAGAAGGUGCUCAUUAUAAUGCGUACCUGCUCGGAUUUCACACUGAGAGACACAGGGGAUGAGAGAGCGCGAACACCACGGCGUGUUACAUAAGCGCGUGGCGCAUUAGCAAUGCAGAUUCGCUGCGUUUUUUUUUUUUUUUUUUACGCCAAAUCAGUCAGCGUUGGCGCUUUAAGAGCGUGUGACUGUUAAUCUCUGUUUAACGUCCGUGUUCCGCAGCACGAGCCCUUCGACCCCCAUUCCUCACGUACACAAACAUUCUUCUAACCAUCCGCCCGUGUUUGUCACUCUCACCUCACUUUGAUGUAGUUUAUGAAAAUUGACUUUACAAGGACCGCGUUUUAUGUUCCUCCUUUAUUGGCUAGGCUAGCAUCCGCUGCUCUAUCGUUGUGUAUGUGUGUACGUGUCAGACAGACAAGUAUGUGAUUAAUAGCUCUCUUGGUCUCUGGCUGGCUCAUUUUUCAGAGCUGUUGUUUAAGACCUGUGGCUCUUCUCUUGGCGAGAUGUAGAUGCGUUUCCCCUUGCUGUUUAUUGAUAUUCUGUUUCCCUAAAUACGGACCUAUUUGUCUCUGCUGUCUCCCCCAACCCCACCCGUACACUUGACCUGAGCGGAUGGGCGGAUUGGAGAGGAGAGGAGAGGAGGUGGUGAGGGGCAGAAAGAGAAAACUAUCUGUGAUUGAUAGGCAAUCUCAGUGCCUGUGGCGUCUGGAGAAUCACCAAGGUGACGUAUUUCUGGGACAAAAGGAAAACCCCCAGCGCGCUGAAUGGUGAUGAGUUGGUCGGAAUAUUCAGCAUGGUGAGCUGAAAUGGAGUUCUGACGUGAAAGAGAUAAGGCUGGCUGUCCAAAGUUACGCACUUGGUAUUGUUCUGCGUCUGAAGAACAAGAGAUGACUCUAUGCAUACGAAGAGGGAAAAAAGUCCACUCAAGGCAUUUUGAUUGAUUAGACCGAGUUUGUUUGAGCAGAACAUAUAAAAGUGAUAGAAAACGCAUUUAAAAGCCUCUGACUUUGUAAACUUGUGGACGUAUUUAUGUGGACAAACUUUUCUGUUGAAAGCCUGCAGUAGACAGCCCCACUUAACAGAAACCACAGAAUGAGAAUGAGGCAGCCAAAGAGAAGCUUAAUGUGUGCCUGUGGGUCACAUGUGACUGAUUUUGCCAAGCAGAAGAAGUUCUUGGAUUUAUCUCAGGACCAACAAAAGAUGUUGACCCAGGAACACAUCAUACUUGGCAAAGUCAAUGUGGAUGCCAAUACAUCAGAGUUGCUUGAAUUCCUCCCUGCAUGUCUGCAGUCUCAACUGACUGUCAGGUUAAAAUCCAGUUACAGACAGCAAGUCGGCUCGGAGGGAGCUCGCCAAUCACACGAGGGUCAGAUUCUGACCUUUCCUUCCCAUGCCCAACGCCGAACCUGUUGGCUUCACACCUCAAAUGGACACCUAAAUGGUUUUGUAUAACGGCACUUACAUUGAUUACAGCCAUAUUUCCUCUAGAGCUUCACAGCCAGAGGAGAAUCUCACAUUCAAUUACAGAAAACUUGUUUCAUUGAUUUUUCGUUUGGUGCUCACAGCUGCGAGUUAGAGUGCAAACGCGUAUGUUAGUGAAUGUCCGCUGAAGCGUCCCUCACUGUCCUUGAGACCCGGGAAAGCUUCAGUUCUGCUAUUAACAAACAGUGGCUCUGAAAGAGGCCGCUCUCGUGUUCACCUGUGAAAUGUGCUCUGGGUAAUUUACUGAAUGAGUAUUGAGCGGUUGAAGAUAUGGACACUGCAGUUGUCUCCCGUUCAUCAGUUCAUCUUUCACAGUGCUCAGUCAAGUAGUGGAUAUUACACAGCCAUGACUCCAUGUGUUCAUUCAGACAGUAGAUAUCAGGCUUUUGAAUGACAUUGUAGUCUGAUUCUUUCUAUGCAUUGUAGAGAAGUCUCACUGCAGUUUUUUUCAGUCCAGAUCCAUUUCUGUGAAGGAAAUUGUGAUAAAUCAUUUUAGUUCCUCUUCAGUUUUCUUUGUAAAUGUGCACUCAACAGUUUUUCCUACAGAAAUCUGUUUUUGCACUCAUAAUUGAGCAUAACAAUAUAAACAAUACUAUUUGUUUUUUAAAUAAGCGUUUUUUUAUUUUUUUAUUUAAAUACCAUUUUGUGAAUAUUUAUAUACACAAUAAAGAUCCAGUCAGUAAGUCAGAAUCAGUGAAUGUUUCAGCAAGUAAGAUUGAUUCAAACUCUUGAGUCUUUUUAACUGAUUCAUUUAAAUAACCGGCUCAAUAAUUUGUGAAUCGGACUACACUGGUCAUGCUGUAUUAUCGUUUUUGACAUUAACCACCAGACAAUUAAUAGACUGAUGUCUUUUCUCUUCAUUGUCUUUGGUACUCUUUUAUCAUUUAGACUGUAAACUAACAUUUUGUGUAUUGAUUUAAUAAUAAAAAACACCAAAUCA